UACGUACGAGGCGAGCGUUAUCCGGAAUUACUGGGCGUAAAGCGCGCGCAGGUGGUUGGUCAAGUUGGGCGUGAAAUCUCCCGGCCUAACUGGGAGGGGUCGCCCAAGACUGGCCGACUUGAGGGCAGCAGAGGUAGGUGGAAUUCCUGGUGUAGUGGUGAAAUGCGUAGAGAUCAGGAGGAACACCGGUGGCGAAGGCGGCCUACUGGGCUGUCACUGACGCUGAGGCGCGAAAGCUCGGGGAGCGAACGGG
rnacentral:rRNA from 1 species